AUUUCAAAGUGUAAUCAUAUUUAAAGUGGUCAUUGCCUUUAUCUAUUUUUCUAUGUGAGAUAACUUUAAAAUAGUUGCCCUUCCAAUACAAAACCUCUUCUAACGAAUCACUUUGAACUCUAAUUUCUCAUUCACGUAAGUAUCAUAUUUGACAAGUAAAUAUAUAAUUUCGAUGUUCUCAAGGAGGAGGACACAAAUUAAUCUUGAUCUUCCAAAAUAAAAAAGAGGGUCCCACUCAAAAUUUAUGCCAAAUUGGCCAUUCAAUACAUUUUUUGCAACAAUUCCCCGUAUGAUUGAGAGAGACAUAGAAACGGGAGACAUGAACACUUCGUGAUAUAGUUCACCAGUUAAAACCUGCAUAGGAUGGGUAGGUAUUACUCAUUGAACCUUCCUUUGU
rnacentral:lncRNA from 1 species